CAAUGAUUAAGCAAAAUCAGUCUUUGGAAGUGGUUUAACUAGAGAUAAGAGUCAUUAAACAAAAGUAUUUAACAGUUGUCCUCAAUAACUAUUGCAGGAAUGAGUUAAUGAAAGACUCAUGUGUAUAAAACCCAAGUUGGAGGCUCUGUAAGUCUUGAGUAAUGGUAAUCACUAGUUUCAAACCAGUCUUGAAAUGACUUCCACCCUGGUAGCUGGCCUGGCUGAGGAAGGCUGCACUAGAGGGAAAAAGAGAGUGUGAAGGUGUAAUGGUGGACCAAGCCCAGAAGACUCCCGGUGCAGCUCACCAUGAACUUGCUGAGAGAAAUGAAGCCAUACCCAGCAAGUUCUGCCUACAUCUCAUUGGCCAGGAAAUAUGUCACAAGAUCACACUACAACCAUAAGGUCCUGCCCUCAUACUUUGAGAAGCAACCUGCUACAGUGAGACUGGGACAGGCCGUGGAUCUCCAUCUGAGAGCAUCAAGAACGCUGGACCUUUAGAGUUAGAAAGAACUUUAUAGUUCUUACUCAUCUCACUUCACAGGUGAGGAAUUCAAAGCUUGACAUUAAAAAAGUAAUUGAAAUUGAGGGAUUAAGUGAUUGGCUCAAGGCUACAUAGCCAGGGUGGCAAUGGCACUGAGGGUGUAUUGCACCCUUCUCACCUACUCUAGACUAAGAACCUUUACUCACCUCUCCACAUCCCCAUGUUACAGGUUACUUUGUGUCUCCCUAAAAUUCAUAUGUUGAAGUCCCAACUCCCUGCCCCUCAGAAUAACCAUAUUUGGAGAUUUAAAGAGGUAAUUAAGAUUGAACAAGGUAUCUAGAGUGCAGUUCUAAUCUAUUAUGGCUGGUGUAUUUUCUAAAUAAUUUUUAAUAUUCAUAAAAGCCUAAUGAAAAGGCACAAAAUAUGGUCUAACUAGAAUUCCAGGUUUCAUUGCUUUUAGGUAGAAUUAUACCAAUGUGGUGACAUCAGCUAUCUCAUAUGCAUCUGAAACUUUAAUUAGUAAUAUACAUCUUGAUUAAUUUAAAAUGAGAAAAUUAUGUAUCAUUUAACAAAGUUGAUUUGCUUGAUAAAUAAAAAACUCGGGCGUUUUGAUGAAGAGAAGAUU
rnacentral:lncRNA from 13 species